CACAUCAACUUACAUAACUCUUAAUUAAGGUACAAUGAACAUAUGCUAUCUCUUGAACAUGUUAAACUCGAACCGUAUUAGACCUUAUGCUCUUUAUGGAUUAGUAUAUCAAAUAGAAGACGAACAACGAAUAAAACGGACCAUGUUAGUCUUAAAAUCAGGAAAUUGUUGUGGAAAGAGAAAACAUACUCAGAGGUUGUUGGGUGCAUAAGGCUUCAAGUACAUGUAAGAGGAAGUAGUGAUUUGUUGUAAAGAUCAUGGAAUGUUCAACUUUACUUGGAAACUAUUGGCAAAGUACCGACCUAAUUUACACGAGAAGUCAGAAUCAUCUUGUCUUGCAAUUGGGAACUAUAUACAUGUAUGUAAAGUGCUUAAACUUAAGAACAAAUUAGAAGCCAAGAUCAACAAUACUUGGAACUACAUGUAUAAUCAAAGUACUGUCAGAAUCCAUAUGAGAGAACCCAAGAUCAUCUACACUUGGUGUCUAUAUGCAAUGUGUUCAGAAUCCACUUAAGAAGCCAAGAUAAACUAUAAUUUGGAAAUAUAUGCUAAGUGCUGUCAAAAUCCAUAAAAAAAAUCCAAGAUCAAAUGGACCUACUGUACCUACAUGUCCCAAUGAUGAAUAGAUUAUUGAGUCAUAUAAAAAAACACUGAAGAGAAUAAUAUUGAUAUAAAAAUUAUGAAAAUAUGGAGCUGAUAAAUUAAUGAUUGUACAUGUACAUGAUGUAUACAUGUCAACAACUACUAGUAGUAUUUCAAAAGUUAUAUUUUCUAGAUAAAAGGAGAAAUAUAUAUAUAGUUUUGUUUAAUGAGACAGCAACCAAACAAAACAAUCAAACGAAUUAUAUAUUGUCUGGAAAAACUUGUGUCUCACUAACU